AUUUACAAAAGAAAGAGGUUUAAUGGACUUACAGUUCCACAUGGCUGGGGAGGCCUCACAAUCAUGGCAGAAGGUGAAAGGCACAUCUCACAUGUUGGCAGACAAGAGAAGAGAGCUUGUUCAGGGAAACUCCCAUUUUUUAAAACCCAUCAGAUCUCAUGAGACUUAUUCACUAUCACAAGAACAGAAUGGGAAAGACCUACUCCCAUGAUUCAAUUAACUCCCACCACCCAGUCCCUCCCACAACAUGUGGGAAUUCGAGAUGAGAUUUGGGUGGGGAAACAGCCAAACCAUAUCAUUCCACUGUUGGCCUCUCCCAAAUCUUAUGUCCUCAUAUUUCAAAACCAAUUAUGCCUUCCCAACAGUCCUCCCAAAGUCUUAACUCAUUUCAGCAUUAACUCAAAAGUCCACAGUCCAAAGUCUCAACUGAGACAAGGCAAGUACCUCUGCUUAUGAGCCUGUAAAAUCAAAAGCAAGUUAGUUUCUUCCUAGAUACAAUGGGGAUACAGGCAUUGAGUAAAUACAGCCAUUCCACAUGUGAGAAAUUGGCCAAAACAAAGGGGCUACAGGCCAGAAGCAAGUCCGAAAUCCAGUGGGGCAGUCAAAUCUUAAAGCUCCAAAAUUAUCUCCUUUGACUCCAUGUCUCACAUCCGAGUCAUGCUGAUGCAGAAAGUGGGUUCACAUGGCCUUGGGCGACUCUGUCCCUGUGGCUUUGUAGGGUACAGCCUCCCUCUCAGCGGCUUUCAUGGGCUGGCAUUGAGUGUCUGUGGCUUUUCCAGGUGCACAGUGCAAGCUGUGGGUGGAUCUACCAUGCUGGGGUCUCGAGUAUGAUGGCCCUCUUCUCAUACCUCCACUAGGCAGUGCCCCAAUGAGGACUCUGUGUGGGGGCUCUGACCCCACAUUUCCCUUCUGCGCUGUCCUAGCAGAGGUUCUCCAUGAGUGCCCUGCCCCUGUAGCGACCUUCUUCCUGGACAUCCAGGCAUUUCCAUACAUCCUCUGAAAUCUAGGCGGAGGUUCUCAAACUCCAAUUCUUGACUUAUGUGCACUUGCAGGCUCAACACCAUGUGGAAGCUGCCAAGACUUGGGGCUUGGACUCUCUGAAGCCACAGUCUGAGCUCUAUGUUGGUCCCUUUCACCCAUGGCUGGAGUGGCUGGGACACAGGACACCAAGUCCCUAGGCUGUACACAGCACAGGGACCCUGGGCCCAGUCCACAAAACCACUUUUUCCUCCUAGGCUUCCGGGCCUGUGAUGGGAGGGGCUGCUGUGAAGACCUCUGACAUGCCCUGGAGACAUUUUCUCCACUGUCUUGGGGAUUAACAUUUGGCUCCUCAUUGCUUAUGCAAAUUUCUGCAGCCAGCUUGAAUUUCUCCUCAGAAAAUGGGAUUUUCUUUUCUAUCGCAUUGUCAGGGGCAAAUUUUCCAAAGCUCUGCUUCCCUUGUAAAACUGAAUGCCUUUAACAGCACCCAAGUCAACUCUUAAAUGCUUUGCUGCUUAAAAACUUCUUCCACCAGAUACCCUAAAUCAUCUCUCUCAAGUUCAAAGUUCCACAAAUCUCUAGGGCAGGGGCAAACACCACCAGUCUCUUUGCUAAGACAUAGCAAGAGUCACCUUUGCUCCAGUUCCCAACAAGUUCCUCAUCUCCAUCUGAGACCAUCUCAGACUGGAUUUCAUUGUCCAUAUCAUCAUCAGCAUUUUGGUCAAAGCCAUUUAACAAGUAUCUAGGGAGUUCCAAACUUUCCUACAUUUUCCUAUCUUCUUCUGAGCCCUCCAAACUGUUCCAACCUCUGCCUGUUACCCAGUUCCAAAGUUGCUUCCACAUUUUUGGGUAUCUUUUCAGCAGUGCCCCACUCUACUGGUACCAAUUUACUGUAUCAGUUUGUUUUCACACUGCUGAUAAAGACAUACCUGAGACUGGGCAAUUUACAAAAUAAAGAGGCUCAUUGGACUUACAAUUCCAUGUGGCUGGGGAGGCCUUAAAAUCAUGGUGGAAGGCAAGGAGGAGUAAGUUACAUCUUACGUGGUUGGAAGCAGGCAAAGAGAGAGCUUGUGCAGGGAAACUCCCGGUUUAAAAACCAUCAGAUCUCAUGAGACUGUGGGGUUCUCCCUCCUGGGGUGAAACACAGGAAAAGACAGAGAACACAGUAAUAAUGCCAUGUAUGUUUUGUUUACUGCUAUAUCCCCAGUGUGUAGCAUAAGAUCUGGCACACAUGGUCAAUAAGCAACUGUUGUAUGACAAAUGGGUUCCAUAUCUUUGGGUGGGAAUGGAAAAAUCAGGACAGGGAUAGGAGUCAGUGGAGCUAGAGGACACACUGGGCUCUGGCAGAAGAGAGGUGGAGGUAAGGGAGAGAAUAUGGUAUUCAGGUGGUUCACUUUUAAGGCUAUGGUCAUUCUUAGACUAGAGAAUCUCUGGACCAUAUAUAGUUUAAGGAAUUUGUCUCUAGAUCAUGUCAGGCAAAAUGAGUUCUGUUUUAUAAGAGACUACUUCUAUGAAAUCUGGAUUUUACAGGAACUGGUUUCAUAGAUGUUAUUGGAAAAAAAGAGUACCUUCAUCAAAUACAUUUGGAACAUUCAGAGUUUAACCAAGUUAAAGUAGUUUUCUUUCUUUUUUUUUUUUUUUUUUAAGACAGAGUCUCGCAUUUUCACCCAGGCUGGAGUGCAGUGGCACAAUCUCGGCUCACU
rnacentral:lncRNA from 10 species